UACGUAGGGGGCUAGUGUUGUCCGGAUUUACUGGGCGUAAAGGGCGCGUAGGCGGCCACCGCAAGUCGGUUGUGAAAUCUCUGGGCUUAACCCAGAAAGGUCAACCGAUACUGCGGGGCUAGAGUGCAGAAGGGGCAACUGGAAUUCUCGGUGUAGCGGUGAAAUGCGUAGAUAUCGAGAGGAACACCUGCGGCGAAGGCGGGUUGCUGGGCUGACACUGACGCUGAAGCGCGAAAGCUAGGGGAGCGAACGGG
rnacentral:rRNA from 1 species